AGCUUGCUUGGUGGAUCAGUGGCGAACGGGUGAGUAACACGUGAGCAACCUGCCCUGGACUCUGGGAUAAGCGCUGGAAACGGUGUCUAAUACUGGAUAUGAGCCUCUUCCGCAUGGUGGGGGUUGGAAAGAUUUUUCGGUCUGGGAUGGGCUCGCGGCCUAUCAGCUUGUUGGUGAGGUAAUGGCUCACCAAGGCGUCGACGGGUAGCCGGCCUGAGAGGGUGACCGGCCACACUGGGACUGAGACACGGCCCAGACUCCUACGGGAGGCAGCAGUGGGGAAUAUUGCACAAUGGGCGGAAGCCUGAUGCAGCAACGCCGCGUGAGGGAUGACGGCCUUCGGGUUGUAAACCUCUUUUAGCAGGGAAGAAGCGGAAGUGACGGUACCUGCAGAAAAAGCGCCGGCUAACUACGUGCCAGCAGCCGCGGUAAUACGUAGGGCGCAAGCGUUAUCCGGAAUUAUUGGGCGUAAAGAGCUCGUAGGCGGUUUGUCGCGUCUGCUGUGAAAUCCCGAGGCUCAACCUCGGGCCUGCAGUGGGUACGGGCAGACUAGAGUGCGGUAGGGGAGAUUGGAAUUCCUGGUGUAGCGGUGGAAUGCGCAGAUAUCAGGAGGAACACCGAUGGCGAAGGCAGAUCUCUGGGCCGUAACUGACGCUGAGGAGCGAAAGGGUGGGGAGCAAACAGGCUUAGAUACCCUGGUAGUCCACCCCGUAAACGUUGGGAACUAGUUGUGGGGACCAUUCCACGGUUUCCGUGACGCAGCUAACGCAUUAAGUUCCCCGCCUGGGGAGUACGGCCGCAAGGCUAAAACUCAAAGGAAUUGACGGGGACCCGCACAAGCGGCGGAGCAUGCGGAUUAAUUCGAUGCAACGCGAAGAACCUUACCAAGGCUUGACAUACACCAGAACACCGUAGAAAUACGGGACUCUUUGGACACUGGUGAACAGGUGGUGCAUGGUUGUCGUCAGCUCGUGUCGUGAGAUGUUGGGUUAAGUCCCGCAACGAGCGCAACCCUCGUUUUAUGUUGCCAGCACGUAAUGGUGGGAACUCAUGGGAUACUGCCGGGGUCAACUCGGAGGAAGGUGGGGAGGACGUCAAAUCAUCAUGCCCCUUAUGUCUUGGGCUUCACGCAUGCUACAAUGGCCGGUACAAAGGGCUGCAAUACCGUGAGGUGGAGCGAAUCCCAAAAAGCCGGUCCCAGUUCGGAUUGAGGUC
rnacentral:rRNA from 1 species